rnacentral:lncRNA from 1 species
CUAAGAACAUGUUUCUUCUCUCCUUUCAGAAGUCAAGAAGGCUCCCAUUUCAUUAGCUUCUAAUAAGCCCUAUCUUUCUCAAAGUUAUUCCCUCCUCCCUACCUACAGGGCUGGCUAUUAGGAGGGAGGAAUGUGAUUCUUCUCUCACCAGGGUCUAGUCUUGCUCACUUGCCCAGAUGCCUGUUCCCAAAACUGGCUCACCAUGUUGUUGUCUGCUUCAGCUGGUUCAGCUGGUCUCACACUGAAACAUCCUACUUCUUUUCAGAACUUGGCGUUGACCUCCCAUAUGCUCAGAAGACUUACCAGACCUCUGGGUUGAGAGAUUAAGAUGUAUCUGCAAUGUGGACCCCAGCCUAGGCUGUGAAAUUUCCCUGACCUCUUUUCUCUUGAAAAACAACCAUAGUAGGACAACAAGAAAAAAACUCACUGGACUCAUACCAAUAAAUAAGCUAAUUAAGAAAUGUAAUGUGUUUAUGUAUAUCCAGCAAGUAGAGCAACCAGGGAAACUCAGGAUGAACCAGCCUUGUGACAUCAGACUACUCAUUUGAACAUCCUAUUGAGGCAAAUUUUGUUAUCCUCACCUUUGUGUGUGCUGUGUUUUUUGAUCUGUGGAUUUAGUUCCACCUUCAGGCCAAGGAUAGAUGAGGCAUAGCCAGGAGGGGGAAGAGAAAAAGAAUGCAGAGGUUAUGGUCUGGCAGUGUUAGGGUGAAGUAAAGCUAACCUUAGCUCAAGAUCUUUCUGACUUUGUCAAAUACCCUACAAAGUAUCAACUGAAGAUAGGCUGUCACCUCUGACCACAUGAUCCAAGCAAGCAGCUAGCUCACUCAGUCCCCUUAACCAGAACUAGUGAAUGUAUGAGACAAAUACGGCCCAUGGUAGGAGCGUUUAUGACUCUCUCAGCCCCUGAUGCUUCCCCUUAGGUGGGUUCUCUGUUACAUGGAGACUAAGAAAGAAUGACAGAGAUUUCAGUGAAUUAUGUGAAUAGACUUUAAGAGUUUAACGUCAGUACUCUUGAUAUUGUGACAUCCUAAUCUUUUUGUUUGUUUUCCUGACAGAAGAGUGUAUACCAAUUAAAGAAGAGUCAAAAUCCUCUACUUGCUCUUUUUCAGCUGCUUAAAAACCCACC